rnacentral:rRNA from 1 species
GUACCGCCCUCCUCGAAAGGUUAAGCUAGCUACUUCUGGAGCAAUCAACUCCCAUGGUGUGACGGGCGGUGUGUACAAGGCCCGGGAACGUAUUCACCGUGACAUUCUGAUUCACGAUUACUAGCGAUUCCGACUUCAUGGAGUCGAGUUGCAGACUCCAAUCCGGACUACGACGCACUUUGUGGGAUUCGCUUACUUUCGCAAGUUCGCCGCCCUCUGUAUGCGCCAUUGUAGCACGUGUGUAGCCCUACUCGUAAGGGCCAUAUGACUUGAUAUCGUCCCCACCUUCCUCCGGUUUGUCACCGGCAGUCUCCUUAAAGUUCCCACCCGAAGUGCUGGCAAAUAAGGAUAAGGGUUGCGCUCGUUACGGGACUUAACCCAACAUUUCACAACACGAGCUGACGACAGCCAUGCAGCACCUGUCUCAGAGUUCCCGAAGGCACUAAGCUAUCUCUAGCGAAUUCUCUGGAUGUCAAGAGUAGGUAAGGUUCUUCGCGUUGCGUCGAAUUAAACCACAUGCUCCACCGCUUGUGCGGGCCCCCGUCAAUUCAUUUGAGUUUUAACCUUGCGGCCGUACUCCCCAGGCGGUCUACUUAUUGCGUUAGCUUCGCCACUAAGUCAUUACAACCCAACGGCUAGUAGACAUCGUUUACGGCGUGGACUACCAGGGUAUCUAAUCCUGUUUGCUCCCCACGCUUUCGCACCUCAGUGUCAGUAUCAAUCCAGAGUGUCGCCUUCGCCACUGAUGUUCCUUCCUAUAUCUACGCAUUUCACCGCUACACAGGAAAUUCCACACUCCUCUAUCGUACUCUAGCCUGCCAGUAUCGGGUGCCAUUCCAAGGUUGAGCCCUGGGCUUUCACAUCCGACUUAACAAACCACCUACGCGCGCUUUACGCCCAGUAAUUCCGAUUAACGCUUGCACCCUCUGUAUUACCGCGGCUGCUGGCACAGAGUUAGCCGGUGCUUCUUCUGAGGGUAACGUCACAGCUAUUGAGUAUUAAUCAAUAACCUUUCCUCCCCUCUGAAAGUGCUUUACAACCCUAAGGCCUUCUUCACACACGCGGCAUGGCUGGAUCAGGCUUGCGCCCAUUGUCCAAUAUUCCCCACUGCUGCCUCCCGUAGGAGUCUGGGCUGG